rnacentral:rRNA from 1 species
AAUCAACGCUGGCGGCGUGCCUCAGACAUGCAAGUCGAACGCGAAAGUUUCCUUCGGGAGACCGGUAGAGUGGCGCACGGGUGAGUAACACGUGGGUAAUUUACCUUUGGGUGGGGAAUAACAGUCGGAAACGACUGCUAAUACCGCAUAAUGCAGCGGCAUCACAUGAUGAUUUGUUGUUAAAGCGGGGGAUCAGCAAUGACCUCGCGCCUGAAGAGAAGCCCGCGGCGGANAGCUAGUUGGUGAGGUAAUGGCUCACCAAGGCGUCGAUCCGUAGCCGGCCUGAGAGGGCGGUCGGCCACACUGACACUGAAUAACGGGUCAGACUCCUACGGGAGGCAGC